rnacentral:rRNA from 1 species
UACGGGGGGGGGUAAGCGUUGUUCGGAAUUACUGGGCGUAAAGGGCUCGUAGGCGGCCAACUAAGUCAUACGUGAAAUCCCUCAGCUUAACUGGGGAACUGCGUGUGAUACUGGAUGGCUUGGAUGUGGGAGAGGGAUGCGGAAUUCCAGGUGUAGCGGUGAAAUGCGUAGAUAUCUGGAGGAACACCGGUGGCGAAGGCGGCAUCCUGGACCAUUAUUGACGCUGAGGAGCGAAAGCCAGGGGAGCAAACGGG